CUUUCUCCAUACUUUAUUCAUUAAAAACAUAAAAUUCACAAAAUAUUCACUUGUGAGCUAGGAACUUCAUAAGCCACAGACUUAAGGGCUAUUUUCCUGUAGUCCUUAAGAAAGUCAGCGUAAAAGUGUCUAACAGAAAACCCAAGGUCUAGGAGAUUACAGUUUCAAAUGUUCCCCAGGAAACUGUUGUGCUUGCAUUUAGUUUAACAGCUAAGCAAGGACAAACAGUUAAGCAAACGAAGUUUCUCUGGUACUCGGAAGACAGCAUUUAACCUCACAUUAGGGGUUUAUAUUUGUGUCGUAUGUGUCUUAUUCCAGCCCCAUUAAGUGCUUCCAUUCCAUCCCAUUUAAUUCUUGACCAAAGUACUGCUUUCUCCUAGACCCCUCUCACCAACAGGUGUCCUGUUCUUCUGUUUGGAAUCCCUUUCCACUUAAAAGCCCCUUAUAAUGUUACUCUUCUUAAGUUGUUCUUGGAGUGUUUGGGAUACCAAACAGAGAGCUAAACACUGCACGUGACUCCUUUGUGAUGCUGUGGCCAUUCUGGGUCCAGCAAGGAAGAACUUUAUUUGAAAGUGGAUUCAGCAAAAAGGUGGAGUAUUGUUCACUGAUAAAAGAGCUUGUCCCUUUGAUGUUCUCUCUCAUUUGUAUCAGUUUGAUGUUCUCUCUCAGGUGUAGAGUAAUACCUAGACAGACUCUUUAUCCUGUAUGCCACCAAAGCCAGGUUACAAACCAAGAAAGGGUCAUAAUAGCCAGUGAGCAAAUGGGUACAAGGUAGGAAAACUGGCACAAGCCAAGUCAGGCCUAGAGUUCAGUUUUGAAAAUGGGUCAAAACAGACCAUGGUUUCAGUGGAGGAAAAUAGACUAAAAUAUUUUCAGUGGUUGGGGGGCGGACUAGAUUCAGGCUAAGGCUAUUCUGCACUGAUUCUUUUGUAACUUAUUUCAAGUCUCAGAUAAUUGCAAAUUAAAAAAUUUCUGAAAAACUUGGGACAACUAAAUGGUCCUUCCCUAGUCUUUUCCUGCCAGCCUACUCAAGUCCUGAGUAACUAUCCGGUUUCCUUUCUUCUUAACUCAGGAUCCCAGUUAAUUCACCAAGCACCAAUGACAUUCAUCCGUUGCCAGAAUAGGAAACUUCAAAAAGGAUUUCCCAGAGUACACCAGAAUGUGCAUCUUGCAAAAACAUUAGGUGCUUACCUCACAUAGUGCCCAAGGGCAUAGGCUUCAAAACAAAACAAAACAAAAAGAGUAUACUGCAAGCGCAGGCCCAAGAAUUCAACUUAGCAUCAAAGUUGCAAAAACCAGUGGGUUGCAAUUCUUUUCUUUUUGUCCUGGAUGAAACCAGACACUGUUCAGUUUUCUAGUACAUGUCUUUAGAACAUCUUCCCACAUUUCCUUCAUCCUGACACGCCCCCCAUCUCCUCUUUACUUAAAACAUAUGGCCUAGGACCACAUCACGCUUUUCUCGUGGGAUGCCUGGGUGGCAGAUUGAUGAACUUGUUUCCAAUAUGACACACAGCUCGAUCAAAGAUCCGACAAAAGUUAGUGUUGUCUAACUUACACCUAUCGUUCCCAUGUUCGCUGUGGCCAUUUUAGACCAAGCUAUGCUGAGCAUUUCUGAAAGUGGAUUCAGUACUUCAUGCCCAAACAGCACAUGGAACACCAAGUCCCGUGCACAGACAGCACUGUCACCGGCCCUAGAUGUGGUCUAGAACUCACAGGAGAGCAAACUGCUUUCUGUACCCACUUCUCCGAGACGAGGAGGUCACUCCCUGAUGGCUCGGGUGGCUACAUGUUUCUAUAUCCGUGAAGACCAUGUGCUCCCUCAACUCUGCAAAAAUCCCUUGCAUUGCCUAUCAUGUACCCACUAUCGGUUUAAUAGAUUCAGGCCCCCUCACCCAGCAUUUCUCCUUUACUUCCUUACCCUCCAUUCUUUCCAAGUCACUUAUUCUAGCCUCGCUCAGAUCUCUUUUCAGGUAUCAGCAUUGACUUCAUAGCCUCCAGCCAGCCCUGUCUCAACCACGUCUGACUUGCCUCACCCUGCGUCUUCCCCAUAACCUCUCCUUGCCUCUCUAUAUGGCACCUUCCUUUUCAUUUUCCCCCCAUCCUCUCCAUCCAGCCGCACACACACACAUCCGUGUAACCACUUUUAAAAAACACUACCCACAGACUUGUGUACAGCCCUCUUUUGUUAUACAAUUUUGAGCAUUCACAGACAAUCUUUCCACAGCCCCAACAAGGCAUGCUGUCCUCAGGACCCUCGUUUCCAUUCCAGGUCACAUACGUGACAUAGUUACAUAUUUGCCUGGUCAACAGAUCAAGAUUUGAACAUAGAUACUAGGCUAUAGAUCUAUAAUGUAGAGAGAGAUAUCGAUCCAUGCCUAGCAAAUGUGAGCUCUGGGUAUGAUUCCCUAACACUGAAAAAUAAAUGGACCUGGCUAUUGUAUGUAUGCAUUCAUCAACAAAGCUAUGAACUGAAAUAUGACCGUCUAAAAAGGACAUCUUGACACAAAUGAUCCACAUGUAUUGUGAUCACAAAUAACUUGGGGAAAUAACAAUAACCCACAGUUUCUCAUCCGUUUCUGCUUUCUUUAGAUUUAGAUUUGAACUACUUGUAAGUCUUUUGAGUAAGCCCGUAUCAUCUACCAUGGUCGUCACUCAGACCUGUACUGCUAAAGUCUACUACUGUAAAUAGAAACUAAAACUGUGUCUAUAAUACAAAGGUUUCAGUGCCAGAAGGUGGAGCCUUCUUCAUACCAAAAAAAAAAAAAA
ensembl:lncRNA